AACAGGCGAGGUCGGAAAUGGUUCCCGACACACCCGAAAGGGUACCUGAGAUGCAGGAUACACCGCCCUGCCGCUUGUU
rnacentral:ncRNA from 12 species